rfam:Choloepus hoffmanni cont1.559621, whole genome shotgun sequence.
AACUGACCCGAGAAAGAGGUAUGUGUGGGAGAAGUUUCCAGAAGCUUUUGAGACAGUCCAGAUGAAAGUGAGGGGGCUAUACUGUUGAAGCAACAGAGAAAAUAAUAAG